UACGGAGGGGGCUAGCAUUGUUCGGAAUUACUGGGCGUAAAGCGCACGUAGGCGGCUUUGUAAGUUAGAGGUGAAAGCCCGGGGCUCAACCCCGGAAUUGCCUUUAAGACUGCAUCGCUAGAAUUGUGGAGAGGUAAGUGGAAUUCCGAGUGUAGAGGUGAAAUUCGUAGAUAUUCGGAAGAACACCAGUGGCGAAGGCGACUUACUGGACACAUAUUGACGCUGAGGUGCGAAAGCGUGGGGAGCAAACAGG
rnacentral:rRNA from 1 species